rnacentral:lncRNA from 1 species
AGUCUCGCAACUAUUUUGCAAGAAUGAGGUGUCAAUAGUACUUUCUUGAAGCACCUCUUUCAUUGUUGGUUUAGAUGAUGAUGAAGAAGAGAGAUUUUCUCUUGCAGCAUUUUGCUGUUCAACCUGCUUUUGUUUUUGUUGCCCCAAGUAGGUUGCUAGGUCCACCAUUUGUGGUACCCUUUCUGGCUGUCGAUGAAACAG